rnacentral:rRNA from 1 species
UACGUAGGGUGCAAGCGUUAAUCGGAAUUACUGGGCGUAAAGCGUGCGCAGGCGGUUUUGUAAGCCAGAUGUGAAAUCCCCGGGCUUAACCUGGGAAUGGCAUUUGGGACUGCAAGGCUGGAGUGCGGCAGAGGAGACUGGAAUUCCUGGUGUAGCAGUGAAAUGCGUAGAUAUCAGGAGGAAUACCGAUGGCGAAGGCAGGUCUCUGGGCUGACACUGACGCUCAUGCACGAAAGCGUGGGGAGCAAACGAGG